GAAAGUAAGAAAGGGCGUAUGGCGGAUGCCUAGGCUCACGGAGGCGAUGAAGGACGUGAUAAGCUGCGAUAAGCUUCGGGUAGGUGCAAAUAACCCUUGAUCCGGAGAUUUCCGAAUGGGACAACCUAGCCGUCUGAAGGACGGUUACUCAAUCUUCAAGAUUGAGAGCUAACGCAGGGAACUGAAACAUCUUAGUACCUGCAGGAAGAGAAAAUAAAUGAAUGAUUCCCCCAGUAGUGGCGAGCGAACGGGGAACAGCCCAAACCGUUGACGUCGCAAGGCGCCAGCGGGGUUGUAGGACCGCGACAUUGUAUGCAAAUCGUGAACAGAACACUUUGGAAAAUGUGACCAUAGACGGUGAUAGUCCAGUAUGUGAAGCGAAAUGCAGCAUAGCGGUAUCCUGAGUAACGCGGGACACGAGGAAUCCUGCGCGAAUCUGCCGGGACCAUCCGGUAAGGCUAAAUACUCCCGUGAGACCGAUAGCGAACGAGUACUGUGAAGGAAAGGUGAAAAGAACCCCGAGCAGGGGAGUGAAAUAGUUCCUGAAACCAUGCGCCUACAAGCGGUCGGAGCAUCUUACGAUGUGACGGCGUGCCUUUUGCAUAAUGAUCCUACGAGUUACCGUCACUGGCGAGGUUGAGUGUCAUGAGACACGUAGCCGCAGUGAAAGCGAGCCUGAAUAGGGCGCACAGUCAGUGGGGGUAGACGCGAAACCAAGUGAUCUACACUUGGCCAGGAUGAAGUCCCGGUAACACGGGAUGGAGGUCCGCACCAAUAAGCGUUGAAAAGCUUCUGGAUGAGCCGAGUGUAGGAGUGAAAGGCCAAUCAAACUUGGAGAUAGCUCGUACUCCCCGAAAGGCAUUUAGGUGCCGCGUCGGAUGGUCACCGUGAGAGGUAGAGCGACCGAUAGGACAAGAGGGCUUCACCGCCUAUCGAGUCCUGACGAACUCCGAAUGCUCACGGUCUGCAGUCCGGCAGUAAGGGGGCGGGUGCUAAGGUCCGUCCCCGAGAGGAGAAGAAUCCAGACCGCCGUCUAAGGUCCCGGAGUUCUGCCUGAGUUAGUCUAACGAAGUCUGGUCCCUAUGACAGCUAGGAUGUUGGCUUGGAAGCAGCCAUUCAUUCAAAGAGUGCGUAACAGCUCACUAGUCGAGGGUCCGGGCAUGGAUAAUAAUCGGGUAUAAGGCAGACACCGAAGGCGCGGGAUAGCAUUUAAAAAAGUAUCGGUAGGGGAGCAUACUCACAGCGUCGAAUGGUGUACGUAAGUUAUCCUGGAGCGGUGAGUAAAGCAAAUGUAGGAAUAAGUAACGAUAAGGAGGGUUAGAUUCCCUCCCGCUGUAAGACCAAGGUUUCCCGGGCAAUGCCAAUCAGCCCGGGGUCAGUCGGGUCCUAAGUCUAAGCCGAACGGCGAUGGCGAUGGCAGAGACGGUUAAUAUUCCGUCACUGCCGCAUGGGGCGAUGUGGAGACGGAGCAGUGAAACCACCGCGGGGCGACGGAAGUCCCCGUUGAAGAGUGUAGGCGUUGAGGAUGGCAGGCAAAUCCACCAUCCGAGCUGAACUUGAUAGUAUGGAGUCUUCUUCGGAAGAAUCCAAUAGUGUGGGUAAUCAUACUCCCGAGAAAAUCCGCUAAGCUUAACCCAUGCGGCACCCGUACCGCAAACGGACACACGUGGUCGGGUAGAACAUACUAAGGCGUUGAGAGAUUCAUGGUUAAGGAACUAGGCAAAUUGACCCUGUAACUUCGGGAUAAAGGGUCCUCGUGAUGAGCGAGGCGCAGAGAAUAGGUCCAGGCAACUGUUUAACAAAAACACAGGGCUGUGCAAACUCGAAAGAUGACGUAUACAGCCUGACACCUGCCCGGUGCCGGAAGGUUAAGAGGAGAUGUCACUCGCAAGAGGAAGCAUUGAAUUGAAGCCCCGGUAAACGGCGGCCGUAACUAUAACGGUCCUAAGGUAGCGAAAUUCCUUGUCGGGUAAGUUC
rnacentral:rRNA from 1 species